GAGUUUGAUUAUGGCUCAGGAUGAACGCUGGCGGGAUGCCUAACACAUGCAAGUUGAACAAGAAGUUCUGGAGGGAGUCUUCGGACGAACGAAGGAAUGGAAAGUAGCGAACGGGUGAGUAACGCGUGGGCAACCAACCUUACACAGGGGGAUAACGCAGAGAAAUUUGCGCUAAUACCGCAUAAGCGCACAGUACCGCAUGGUAUGGUGUGAAAAACUCCGGUGGUGUAAGACGGGCCCGCGUCUGAUUAGUUAGUUGGUGAGGUAAAAGCUCACCAAGGCAACGAUCAGUAGCCGACCUGAGAGGGUGAUCGGCCACAUUGGGACUGAGACACGGCCCAAACUCCUACGGGAGGCAGCAGUGGGGGAUAUUGCACAAUGGAGGAAACUCUGAUGCAGCAAUGCCGCGUGAAGGAAGACGGUUUUCGGAUUGUAAACUUCUAUCAGCAGGGAAGAAAAUGACG
rnacentral:rRNA from 1 species